rnacentral:misc_RNA from 1 species
GAUGAAGAACGUAGCGAAAUGCGAUACUUGGUGUGAAUUGCAGAAUCCCGUGAACCAUCGAGUCUUUGAACGCAAGUUGCGCCCGAAGCCACUAGGCCGAGGGCACGCCUGCCUGGGCGUCACACGCCGUUGCCCCCCCAUCUACUCCUUCGGGAUUGCGGGGGGGCGGAUGAUGGCCUCCCGUGCGCCUAGCCGCGCGGUUGGCAUAAAUACCAAGUCCUCGGCGACGCACGCCACGACAAUCGGUGGUUGCGAAACCUCGGUUGCCCGUCGUGUGCGUUCGUCGCGCAUCGAGGGCUCGAAAAAAUGCUCGGCUCCGGCUGGGCUUUCAACGCGACCCCAGGUCAGGCGGGGUUACCCGCUGAAUUUAAGCAUAUCAAUAAGCGGAA